UCCCUGGUGGCUCAGACGGUAAAGAAUUUGCCUGCAAUGCAAAUCCAGAUCCAGGUUCGAUACCUGGGUGGGGAA
rnacentral:tRNA from 1 species